CUUCCGAUAUGAUCCAGAGUACCACGGGACACGUGAAACCCCGUGGGAAGCAGGAGGGACCACCCUCCAAGGCUAAAUACUACCCGGUGACCGAUAGCGCAUAGUACCGUGAGGGAAAGGUGAAAAGAACCCCGGGAGGGGAGUGAAAUAGAACCUGAAACCCUGUACUUACAAACUGUGGAAGCACAUUUCUUGUGUGACCGCGUACUUUUUGUAGAACGGGCCAACGAGUUACGUUAUGCAGCAAGGUUAAGUACUUCAAGUAUGCAGCCGCAGCGAAAGCGAGUUUUAACUGAGCGUUUAGUUGCAUGACGUAGACCCGAAACCGGGUGACCUAUCCAUGAGCAGGUUGAAGCGAAAGUAAAAUUUCGUGGAGGACCGAACCCACGAGCGUUGAAAAGCUCGGGGAUGACUUGUGGAUAGCGGUGAAAUUCCAAUCGAACCCGGAGAUAGCUGGUUCUCCCCGAAAUAGCUUUAGGGCUAGC
rnacentral:rRNA from 1 species